GUUUUGGCACACUGAGGAAGAAUAAACCUUCCUGAUGUGAAGCUAACAUCAGCUCAGCUUGUGCCUCCUCUAUUCUUUAUCACAGGUAAACCAGCUGGUUACUGCUGUAAUCCAGAAGGACGGGACGCCAGCCUGAGGACCACCGAGGAAGAGUCGCUGCAUUACUCCAGUCUGAAGCUUCCAGACAAGCCCCGCCCCUCUGGCAGGCGAGAGCCUCGAUUGGUUGAAGAGAAUGUGACGUACUCAGCAGUGAUGAGUCGCAAGAACCCGAACCAAUCACACGGCCACAAAUAGAAAGCCUUUUAUUCACUGUUACUUUAUUUUAUUUAGUAUUUGGAUGUGUUGUAAACGAUGAAGAGUUUGUUCUCCACCAGUGCUUAAAAAUAAUAAUAAUAAUGAUGAAGAUGGUGAUGAUAAGAAUAAUGAUAAUGGCAAUAAUAAUAAUAAUAACAGUAGUAAUAAUACUACUACUAAUAAUAGUAAUAAUAAUGACAAUAAUAAUAAUUAUUAUUGUUAUAUAAACAUUAAUGGGUAAUUGUGAUUAAUGGAUUCAGUUGAAGUAGACGGUCCUCUCACUGACUGUAUGAGCAUAAAUUAUCUACAUGUGAAUGGACAUAUGAUACAAAAUUUAUUAUAAAAACUAUUUACUAACAUCUUAGUGGCAAAUUCAUUUUUGGAGUUGCUAUAAAGUAAAUGGAAAAAAAUCACUUUUGCACAGAUACCUUUAAGUGGCUUUUAAUCAUCAAAUGAUGCACUCAGGUGUUAAAAAAAGAAGGUAUAAUUAUUAUAUAAUUUUUAUUAAUUAUAAAACAACAGCAGCUCAUAAACUUCUAAUUUCACGUGUGUUGGUUAGAAGUAGCUGAUAACUUCUAGACUGUUAUAUACGUGGCAAUAAAUCCAUAUAGUUUUUGUCAAUAAGCAGCUUUAGCUUCCAUGUAAACAUUGUUGAUGUUGGCGUUCAGACACCAGGGGGCGUUGCAGGAUGGAGAUAGAUAAUUAAAGACUGGUCACCUUCAUGAGAAAAAGAUCUCACCUGAAAUCACUAAUACACUCAUAUCUAUAGUAAAUUAGAUUUAUGUUCAUUUUAUUUCCUAAAUAAAUUUAUAACAUCACCAUAAUGACUGAUUUAUUGAUGAUUUUCAAAUAUAAAGUCAAAUAUUUGCUGAUUUUAGCUACAAAAUAAAGAUUUGCUGCUUUCUUUGGAUCAUACGUCACAGAAAAUGCUCCAUCUUUGAGUUAAAAACUAGCAGGUAAAGAACUAUUUGACUUUUCUAAACAAACUGACAACAUUUUAAUAUCUUCUUAUUUAAAUAAACUAAUUAUCAUGUUUUAUAUGACUGAAGCUGCAGAUUCGCUGCCGACUUGCUGAAGAGAAAAAACUGACUGUACUUUAUGUAAAUAAAGUUUUCUGUUCCUGAUAUUUUGGAGCUUUGCUCUUUUGCACAUUGAAACCAAUAAUCAUGUCCAUAAACAGAAACUGAAUGUUAAAUGUCUCUUACCAUCUGCACAACAGCAGAAAGUUUAUUUUUCUGUCUAUAAUGUUUAUCUGGAGCCUCUACUGUCUUUAUAUUGCUGCUAAAUGUUCCUUUUCCAAUAAAAUCUUCUCAU